rnacentral:rRNA from 1 species
UAUACAUGCAUGUCGAGCGAAGUACUUGUACUUAGCGGCGAAUGGGUGAGUAACACGUGCUCAACGUACCCUUCAGAUUGGGAUAGCGGCUGGAAACAGCCGAUAAUACCAAAUACCCGUAGGUUUCGCAUGAAGCUUACGUAAAAGGCGCGUUUGCGCCGCUGGAGGAUCGGGGUGCGCAACAUUAGCUAGUUGGUGAGGUAACGGCCCACCAAGGCUACGAUGUUUAGCGGGGUUGAGAGACUGAACCGCCACACUGGGACUGAGAUACGGCCCAGACUCCUACGGGAGGCAGCAGUAGGGAAUAUUCCACAAUGGACGAAAGUCUGAUGGAGCGACACAGCGUGAAGGAUGAAGGCCCCAUGGGUUGUAAACUUCUGUGGUAAGGGAAGAAAAAGUAGUGUAGGAAAUGCCACUACCUUGACGGUACCUUAUUAGAAAGCAACGGCUAACUAUGUGCCAGCAGCCGCGGUAAUACAUAGGUUGCAAGCGUUAUCCGGAAUUAUUGGGCGUAAAGCGUCUGUAGGUUGUUUGUUAAGUCUGGCGUUAAAUUUUGGGGCUCAACCCCAAACUGCGUUGGAUACUGGCAGGCUAGAGUUGUGUAGAGGUAAGCGGAAUUCCUUGUGAAGCGGUGAAAUGCGUAGAUAUAAGGAAGAACACCAAAAUGGCGAAGGCAGCUUACUGGGCAUAUACUGACACUGAGAGACGAAAGCGUGGGGAGCAAACAGGAUUAGAUACCCUGGUAGUCCACGCCCUAAACGAUGAUCAUUAGCUGAUGGAGAAUUCGUCAGCGCAGCUAACGCAUUAAAUGAUCCGCCUGAGUAGUACGUUCGCAAGAAUAAAACUUAAAGGAAUUGACGGGGACCCGCACAAGCGGUGGAGCAUGUGGUUUAAUUUGAAGAUACGCGUAGAACCUUACCCACUCUUGACAUCUUCCGCAAAGCUAUAGAGAUAUAGUGGAGGUUAACGGAAUGACAGAUGGUGCAUGGUUGUCGUCAGCUCGUGUCGUGAGAUGUUCGGUUAAGUCCUGCAACGAGCGCAACCCUUAUCCUUAGUUACUAACAUUCAGUUGAGCACUCUAGGGAGACUGCCCGAGUAAUCGGGAGGAAGGUGGGGACGACGUCAAAUCAUCAUGCCUCUUACGAGUGGGGCAACACACGUGCUACAAUGGUCGGUACAAAGAGAAGCAACCUGGUGACAGUGAGCAAACCUCAAAAAACCGAUCUCAGUUCGGAUUGGAGUCUGCAACUCGACUCCAUGAAGUCGGAAUCGCUAGUAAUCGUAGAUCAGCUACGCUACGGUGAAUACGUUCUCGGGUCUUGUACACACCGCCCGUCAAACCAUGGGAGCUGGUAAUGCCCGAAGUCGGUUUAUAACAAACUGCCUAAGGC